rnacentral:rRNA from 2 species
CGAAAAAUAACGAUACGGGACUCAUCCGAGGCCCCGUAAUCGGAAUGAGCACACUUUAAAUCCUUUAACGAGUAUCCAUUGGAGGGCAAGUCUGGUGCCAGCAGCCGCGGUAAUUCCAGCUCCAAUAGCGUAUAUUAAAGUUGUUGCGGUUAAAAAGCUCGUAGUUGGACUUGUGUCCCACGCUGUCGGUUCACCGCCCGUCGGUGUCUAACUGGCAUGGUUCGUGGGACGUCCUGCCGGUGGUGGCGAGUCGAAGGAGCGCGCCCGUCGUGGUUCGCGCCGCGAUCGAGGUUGCGGUCCGGAGACGGACCCCGAUGAAAUCCUACCGCGGUGCUCUUCACCGAGUGUCGAGGUGGGCCGGCACGUUUACUUUGAACAAAUUAGAGUGCUUAAAGCAGGCCUGUUGCGCCUGAAUACUGUGUGCAUGGAAUAAUGGAAUAGGACCUCGGUUCUAUUUUGUUGGUUUUCGGAACCCGAGGUAAUGAUUAAUAGGGACAGUCGGGGGCAUUCGUAUUGCGACGUUAGAGGUGAAAUUCUUGGAUCGUCGCAAGACGGACCGAAGCGAAAGCAUUUGCCAAGUAUGUUUUCAUUAAUCAAGAACGAAAGUUAGAGGUUCGAAGGCGAUCAGAUACCGCCCUAGUUCUAACCAUAAACGAUGCCAGCUAGCGAUCCGCCGAAGUUCCUCCGAUGACUCGGCGGGCAGCUCCCGGGAAACCAAAGCUUUUGGGUUCCGGGGGAAGUAUGGUUGCAAAGCUGAAACUUAAAGGAAUUGACGGAAGGGCACCACCAGGAGUGGAGCCUGCGGCUUAAUUUGACUCAACACGGGAAACCUCACCAGGCCCGGACAC